GCUCGGUUAGCUCAGUUGGUUAGAGCGUCGUACUAAUAUCUUAUCUUUGGAUGAAAUGUAUAGUAAUGCGAAGGUCAUGAGUUCAACCCUCAUACUGAGCA
rnacentral:tRNA from 1 species